AGGGAGCGUUUCUCUAAUCCUGUCCAGAUGAGCUGUGGAUUUCAAGAGGUUUCUAUUUUUGGAUGUAGGCUUCUGCCUAUAUGCUACUGUUGGGCUCAAGUUCAUUCAGAGGAAUCACAUUAGCGGGUGAGAAUCCUGCCAACAUAAAGAAGAGUCUGGAAGAAGGGAUCGAAGGACUUGUAGAAAAGUUGUGUGGAGUACAGUGGGAUGGAGCUCCAGGCUUUGAGACAAGAGUGACAACCAGAAAAGAAAUCAGACAACUAAAUCAUAAGCACAUGGUCAAUGAAAAGAGUUGCUGACAUGCAAGUACAGAUGAACAGGCUGGACCUCCAUCCUUGGAACUACAUCCUUGGAAUUACAAGGUGAUCCAGUGGGACCUACUGAGGGCUAACCUGCAGAGUGGAGAAUUUAAGGGAUGUGCUCAGAAAAGGUUCACGUCAUGGAGAGAUUAUCCUACCUUUUUCUGGAUCUGUACUUUCAUGCUAAUAUAUCACUGUGCACUGUAAAAACAUGGGACAGAAGGACUGAGCCUUCUGCAGAAAGCUUAUCUGAAGAUAAGAAGAGAUAACAGAUGGAGAAGGAGAUGGGGAACAAAAAGAAGCAGUGGCACUGUGAUGAGACGACUAAGUUCAGGUGAAGAAUUUAACCUUUGUGAAUGGAGUGACAGAACAUGAAGAUUAUGACUACGGAGAGUGGAAUUUUCAGUGGAAAUCUCGCCUGAGAUAUAGUUUGAAGACCUGCCUACUGUUGAUCAAGUAGCUUCUCAUAUUUCCCACCACGCUAGUCCCGACUGGCUGCAAUCUUGCCCAUUAACUCAGCGACUACUUUGCUGAAGGGGAAACAGAAUGAAGGCAGAAUUUCAAAUGGUUUCAAGGUUCUGGUGACUUUUACAAACUGCACAGGCACCUGUUAGUGGUUAAAGGACGUGUUUAUUUCUUGCAGUAUUGGUUUGAUUAAAACAGUUCCUCUUGCAAGUAUGUAAAAGGUGUCUUUAAAACAGUGUCUGAACACCUGCAAGCCUAGAGCCAGUCAGGUUGUUUUCAGCCACCUUUUCUAAGUCUGUUUAGCAAAGCCAGGCUCUGUGUAAGUGUGUGUACUUGCAAUGCUUAUGGAUGCAUUAGUUAGGACACAUAUCACUACUUCUAAGUUGAGAGACCUUUAUGGCCAUGCUUUCUGGUGCUUAGAAUAACGUCAUACUUCUCCUCUUGGAAAUGACUUGUGAAGAGGAGUUGCGGCAGCUGCGUGAACACCAAGGUCGGGAGGAACAGAGGAAGACA